rnacentral:rRNA from 1 species
UACGUAGGGGGCAAGCGUUGUCCGGAAUCAUUGGGCGUAAAGAGCGUGUAGGCGGCUCGGUAAGUCCGCUGUAAAAGUCCAGGGCUCAACCCUGGAAAGCCGGUGGAAACUGUCGAGCUAGAGUCCGGAAGAGGCGAGUGGAAUUCCUGGUGUAGCGGUGGAAUGCGCAGAUAUCAGGAGGAACACCAAUAGCGAAGGCAGCUCGCUGGGACGGUACUGACACUGAGGCGCGAAAGCGUGGGGAGCGAACAGG